rnacentral:rRNA from 1 species
GACGAACGCUGGCGGCGCGCUUAACACAUGCAAGUCGAACGGAAAGGCCUGCUUUCCCUUGUGGAUUGCGGGUACUCGAGUGGCGAACGGGUGAGUAACACGUGAGUGAUCUGCCCCCAACUUGGGUAUAAGCCUGGGAAACUGGGUCUAAUUCCCGAUAGGACUGCAGGGUGGUGCCUGUGGUGGAAAACGAUUUUCUAGUGGUUGGGGAUGAGCUCGCGGCCUAUCAGCUUGUUGGUGGGGUAAUGGCCUACCAAGGCGGCGACGGGUAGCCGGCCUGAGAGGGUGGACGGCCACAUUGGGACUGAGAUACGGCCCAGACUCCUACGGGAGGCAGCAGUGGGGAAUAUUGCACAAUGGGCGGAAGCCUGAUGCAGCGACGCCGCGUGGGGGAUGACGGCCUUCGGGUUGUAAACUCCUUUCGACCGCGAGGAAGCCACCUGGUUGGAAGGGUGGUGACGGUAGUGGUAGAAGAAGCACCGGCUAACGACG